CGCAGUCUCGCCUCUCUCUCUCUCUGGAAAGAGCUUUCUUCUCUAAUCGCCUCUCUUCUCUAGUCGCCUCUCUUCUCUUAUCUGUCCAUUUCUCUUCAUCAAGAAGGACCAGAUCGGGUUGAUGUAUCAAUCCUCUUCUCUUAUGGUGCCAUGGUGGUUGAAGUCUGAGCGCGACCUCUGUCACUGUAAGGAGGUUCAGAUCUGAAAAAUUUAUCUGAGACUUUGGGUAUGAUUAUGCAUGAAGACUCACGCUUGAUCAGGAUCUCAGACUUUAGGACUCACGCUUGAUCAGGAUCUCAGACGGGAUAGUUUCACUGCUUGAGUCUGAAAUUGAUAUUAAUCUCAGGAACUAUCAAAACCAAAGCAAAGCUCUGUCCCAAGCUCUUAACCAAUUCUCAGUCUCCAUUUGAAGCUUCUUUUUCCCAUGAAAAACAGUAGAAAAAGGGGGUUUAUUUACUGGGAAACUCAGUCAAAUGGCCCCUGAUGUGGAAGAGGGAUUUGCUCUAUUUAUAUAUUUUGUGGAUGGUUAAUGGUCUGCUCUUAUAUUUUUACAUAUAUUCUUUUUAUAUUGAUAAGGCUCCAAUGGCCUUGAUUCUUCCAGAAUAGUUCGUUGUAAACAGAUGGAGUUGAU